GGGUUGUGAGGUUAAGCGACUAAGCGUACACGGUGGAUGCCCUGGCAGUCAGAGGCGAUGAAGGGCGUGCUAAUCUGCGAUAAGCGCCGGUAAGGUGAUAUGAACCGUUAUAACCGGCGAUACCCGAAUGGGGAAACCCAGUGUGACUCGUCACACUAUCAUUAACUGAAUCCAUAGGUUAAUGAGGCGAACCGGGGGAACUGAAACAUCUAAGUACCCCGAGGAAAAGAAAUCAACCGAGAUUCCCCCAGUAGCGGCGAGCGAACGGGGAGGAGCCCAGAGCCUGAAUCAGCAUGUGUGUUAGUGGAAGCGUCUGGAAAGGCGCGCGAUACAGGGUGACAGCCCCGUACACAAAAGCGCAUGUGCUGUGAGCUCGAUGAGUAGGGCGGGACACGUGGUAUCCUGUCUGAAUAUGGGGGGACCAUCCUCCAAGGCUAAAUACUCCUGACUGACCGAUAGUGAACCAGUACCGUGAGGGAAAGGCGAAAAGAACCCCGGCGAGGGGAGUGAAAAAGAACCUGAAACCGUGUACGUACAAGCAGUGGGAGCACAGGUUUACCUGUGUGACUGCGUACCUUUUGUAUAAUGGGUCAGCGACUUAUAUUCUGUAGCAAGGUUAACCGAAUAGGGGAGCCGUAGGGAAACCGAGUCUUAACCGGGCGUUAAGUUGCAGGGUAUAGACCCGAAACCCGGUGAUCUAGCCAUGGGCAGGUUGAAGGUUGGGUAACACUAACUGGAGGACCGAACCGACUAAUGUUGAAAAAUUAGCGGAUGACCUGUGGC
rnacentral:rRNA from 1 species